AGUGGGACAGCUGGGUCAAAUGGUGGAUCCAUUUCUGAGGUAUCUCCAUACUGCUUUCCAGAGUGGUUAAACCAAGUUGCAGCCCCACCAGCAAU
rnacentral:pre_miRNA from 1 species